AACGAACGUUAGCGGCGCGCCUAACACAUGCAAGUCGAGCGAGAAGGAAGCAAUUCCUGUAAAGCGGCGCACGGGUGAGUAACACGUAGGUAAUCUACCUCGAAGUGGUGGAUAACCUUCCGAAAGGAGGGCUAAUACAGCAUGAGACCACGGUUUCGAAAGAGAUUGAGGUCAAAGCGGGCCACUAUACAUAAGCUCGCGCUUCGAGAUGAGCCUGCGGCCCAUCAUGGUAGUUGGUAGGGUAAUGGCCUACCAAGCCGAAGACGGGUAGCUGGUCUGAGAGGAUGAUCAGCCACACUGGAACUGAGACACGGUCCAGACUCCUACGGGAGGCAGCAGUGGGGAAUCUUGCGCAAUGGGCGAAAGCCUGACGCAGCGACGCCGCGUGAGUGAUGAAGGCCUGGUGUAAGCUACUGUGGAGGGGACGGAAGUAAGGGUUAGGCGUAACA
rnacentral:rRNA from 1 species